rnacentral:lncRNA from 1 species
CAGAUUAACGGUCGUCCCUCCACAGGAGGCAUCAGAAUCGGAGGCUCCUGCAAAUACUCUUUUAUCUUUUCAAAUGCCCCUUGGCAAUCAUUAUUUCACCUGACCGUUCGAUCUUUUUUUUUGUUUUCGGUUCGGGCAUUUCUUGCAUUGCUUUUUCCUUUUCUUUUCUUUUCUUUCUUUUUUUUAGCAGGAUCGACCUCGAUUCCUCUUUCGUUCAAAAUAAGCCUCGGCAACUUACCGGACCGCACUCUGAUAGUGCACUUAUUCGGAUUUAACCUCAGUCUGAGUUGUCUC